UUAAUUAUUAUUUUAUGAAGUUCAGAAGACAAAUUUCUAAUGAGUUUGAGAAAACUUCUGCCGGCCGAAACCGGCAAAGAAACAAAUUAAUUAAGUCAAAGGGUUGAAGUUUGGGCGCUGGAUCAGCACCCUAAACUAGUAAUGAUCCUUCCGCAGGUUCACCUACGGAAA
rnacentral:misc_RNA from 1 species